CUCUCCUCACCUCCCACCGAUUUUUUAAUUCCUGUAAAAACCGGUGAAGAAAACCCCUAAAAAAAUCAUCUCUUUCAUCAUAUCCCUUCGUUGGUCUUUGUCCACCCGUCCCGCAAGAAAAAAAAAACAAGCGAUCAAACUUCCCCAAUCUCACGCAAGACGAGAUCCGCAACCGCAAGGCGAUUAGGGUUCCUACCCGCCGCCGACCAAUCCUCCCAUCGAUCGCCUCCGGCCAAGAGAACCCUCGGACGACAUCUGCUGCUCGUGUACGUGCGAUUCCCAAGCAAUGCCGCCCUGUCCUGAUUGUCCCUUCCGGUCUCUGUCUCGACGAUCUCCACCACCACCAUGACACCGGAUCCAAGCCGGCCCGUCGCCACCGGCAUGCCUUACCGCAAGGUCAUCGUGCGGAUGAUAGUAUGAUACCGAGGGGCAGUCAGAGUGCCAGAUGCGGGCGUCCAUCAAGGGUGUGGUAGACGAGGACCGAGGUUGCGACCUGACGUUAUCUCCUACUCCGGAUCCAGGUAUGCUGAAGGUUGAAAAUGAGGCUGUCACUGCUGAAGAUUGGCACCAGCACGGGUGUCGUUCGGCUUCGCUGCUUGAUUCGGCAAGGUCCUCGCGCUCUUCUUCAAGGAGGACUUUGCACUCAAGGUAGGGGCCAUCUACAAAGCCGCCUGCCCGCUCUACGAUGGCGCACUGCAAGAACGCCUCGGUCAUCACCUGAAUCUCAUGGAGCGUGUUGCAGGCUGUGGAACGAGCUCCGCGAGGUUCGUAUGUUGAUGUUUGUGCUCAAAAUUUUGACAAUUCCACUCGAAUAUCACUUCUCCAGUGUAUGUAUAUAUGCAAUCGACUGCAAUCUGUAAGUACAAGCUCCGGGAGAGCACCGUGGCCUCUGCUAUCCGUGACACGAGAUAGGUCCCUUCCCUGACGUAGGCAAUAGCCCCAUCCCUUGCUGAUACGGAUAAAGACACAAGAAUCCUUUUAUUGCAUGUACCCGAUUGGUUGGAACGUGGAAACAUCACAAAUUCACAUGUGAGUACGCCGGAGAGAACAAGGUCAAGGCCAUGUCCAGAAGCAAGCGUAGCAAGGCAUCCGGCAAGGAUGCUGCUUGCGGAUGAUAUCGCACGGAGGGGCUGCUGCCUCCACUGGGUGGUCGGCUGGUGGUCAAGCCAUCGCCGGCGCCGGUGUCAAAGCUGUUGUACCACUUCCCCAUCGCAGGGUUCGAUGCCAAGGCGGCGUACUCAUUUCACGUUCCUUGUCGCGCCCCAGGGACAACGAGUUGUUGUUCAUCACCUUUACUAUGCCCGGCGCAACACCUGGAGGUGCUGACGCCCACAUCGUGCCAUAGCCUCACCAUCAUGUACGAUGCUAAAGAGGGGCUCAGGUGCAGCCCGGCUGUGGUUCGACAGUACGCUUGAACACUAAGGCCGUGAGGCUAAUCAGCGGGAUGCACGGGCCCCAUGAGUAGCAGGACAUGAGGUGUACACUACUGGAGGCAGAUGCUGCUGGAAGGCUGUUGGCCGGCGGCAGCCCGAGCGGUGCCCUUAGGAUGCGCAGGUCUGUGGCCAACACUAGCCAAACAAAGUGAACACGGUAGAGUUUAGAGUUUUCCUUCGAAUUUGAGGCAUAUUGAAGUAGGACUUGGACGCCAUCGAGGAAUCGUAAAGGCGAUCAGCCAAAUAUGCUCUACUGAUGACAAGGAUGCUGGAGUGGCAGUAGAGCCACUCGCCACGGGCUUCCAACAUUGGCAGUCGCACCACCACGUCUCUCUUGUCGCCUUCUUGCUGAUCUUCAGCCCCAUAGCAAUUUUUUUAUAUUUUAAGGACCACGGGCAUUUGGAUCGCUAGCUAUAACUUUUAUUGUACUGUACUAAUUGCUAUGAUAAAAUCCAUGUCAUUGU